GCCGGGCGUGGUGGCUCACGCCUGUAAUCCAAGCCCCCCUUUGGAGGCCAAGACGGGUGGAUCACCUGAGGUUGGGAGUUCAAGACCAGCCUGACCAACAUGGUGAAACCCCGUCUUUA
rnacentral:sRNA from 1 species